rnacentral:rRNA from 1 species
UACGUAGGGUGCGAGCGUUGUCCGGAAUUAUUGGGCGUAAAGAGCUCGUAGGCGGCUUGUCACGUCGGAUGUGAAAGCCCGGGGCUUAACCCCGGGUCUGCAUUCGAUACGGGCAGGCUAGAGUGUGGUAGGGGAGAUCGGAAUUCCUGGUGUAGCGGUGAAAUGCGCAGAUAUCAGGAGGAACACCGGUGGCGAAGGCGGAUCUCUGGGCCAUUACUGACGCUGAGGAGCGAAAGCUAGGGGAGCAAACGGG